rnacentral:rRNA from 1 species
CCCUUAGAUGUCCUGGGCCGCACGCGCGCUACACUGAUGCAUUCAACGAGUUUUUCCUUGGCCGAGAGGCCUGGGCAAUCUUUUGAACGUGCAUCGUGAUAGGGAUAGAUUAUUGCAAUUAUUAAUCUUGAACGAGGAAUUCCUAGUAAACGCAGAUCAUCAGUCUGCAUUGAUUACGUCCCUGCCCUUUGUACACACCGCCCGUCGCUCCUACCGAUUGAAUGGUCCGGUGAAGCGUUCGGACCGUGGCCUUUGGACGGUUCGCCGUCUGUUGGCUGCGGGAAGUUCGUUAAACCUUAUCAUUUAGAGGAAGGAGAAGUCGUAACA